ACAAUGACAAAAGAGAGAGAGCAAAUAGUAUGAUUCUAUCUGCAUUCAGACUCCAAAGAUCUUUCUCUGGAUGUGGAUAGCAUUUUCCAUCCUCAGUCUUUUGAAAUUAUCUUAGAUCCUUGCAUUGCCAAGAAGAGCUAAAUCUAUCAAAUUCAGUCAUUGCGCAACAUGGCUGUUACUGUGUACAGUGUUUUCCUGGUUCUCCUCACUUCAUU
rnacentral:miRNA from 1 species